ACUGAGCUGAGUAUAGAGGCUGUGCCUUCUGAAUAUUCAUCCAAUUCUCUUUCCACUGCAUUACACUGCCAGUCAUCUGGUUCUGCUGGUUCGACUAUACCCAGACAUUCCAGAUUUUAACUUCAUGAAUCCAGAACUUUCAGUGCCUCUUGCCAAAGGAAUUCAUAUGGACACCAAUCUGCCCAGCAGUUCCUCUGCAGGAUGUCUGCACAAACGCCCUCUGUUCACAGCACCACGUCAUUCUCCUGAAAGCUGAAGUUCUUCUGAUUCAGAUGUCUUCUGAGUGUCUUCUCUUUAGAAACUUCUGGGAAAGCUUCAUGAUGCCCCAUCAUUCCUCAAUGGAUAAGUCAAUGAAGUGUGCACACGCACUCUGAGUUUCUGAAGGCCUCAAUAUAAUCAUGAUCACACCUCCCUAAAUUCCUCCCAUCUAGUGAACUUUAAUUCCUUUAACAAUUAUCUUCAGUCUUCACUAUGAUUUAGAGAUAGGUAAAUAUAGACAGGCCAUAUGUCUCUUGACUGGGAAAAAGACAUCUCUCAUGAGGUAGGCCUAUCUAUUGUCUUUCUACUUAGCACAGAUGAAAGAAAAGUCACGAUGAAUUACUUCUUUUCUUUUUACGUGCCCUGUUAAACCCUGAACAACAAAGAUAAAACUGAGUUUCCUGCAAGGUUUACCUACUGACCCACUUAUUUUUCAGGAUCCAGCCAACUGAAUGGUCCCAGACAAGGCACGUUUCAGGGGCUGGAGGAGUUGGAUAGAGAGGAAAAGAAGUUCAAAGCCACACACAAUGCUCCAGAGCCAGAUGAAUGUGAUACAACCCAUUAACUUUUCUUUUUGGUUUGGUUGUCAGGAGGCCAAGAAUUAGAUAUUUAUUGUAAACUCACUGUGAGUAUCUCUCUAUGAUCUCCCUUCCCAGAUAUGUGGGGAUAUGCGAUGUUGGUGGUUAGAGUAAAUUGCCAUGUGCCUGGGGAACUGAACUGCGCACUGGGAUCUGACCCUUCAUGCUCAUGAUUGCAAUUCAGGAAGCCCAAGAAUGCCAAAGGCUGUGUUUGGAGUUGUGAUCUGAGUACCAGAAACCAAAAUGCAAAUACUAACAAAUAUGAAAACAAAAAGACAUCAUUCGUGGAGCAGUGCAAAGCAAGUACAAAAGAUGUGAGAAUUAUUUAUGAUGUCUGAAAUUUCUACUGUGUGCGUUCUGGAAGCAGUCAAAGAUGCUACAGUCCUGAGACACUGAGUAAUUUUCUCCUACCUUUCAUCACAUUUUUGAUCUCUGUGCCAUGUGUUCUACCAGGAAGCAAGAGGGAACUUCCAUCCACACAUUUAACAGUGUACAACACUUGGCAGUUCCUAAUGGCUCUCACACAGUGCCUCUUCUGGUCCUUAUUCAUGUACAGCUUGUGCAGGUCUUCCAGUAACAACUUCCCAGAGUUCCAAUACCUCCAUUUCUUCAAUAACUUUUCAAAACUAUUAUUGAUUUUUACCAAAAAGUCAAUAUUUUCAAAUUAGCAGUAGACUUGUCUACCCCAGAUAAGUGUUUGUUUUCCUCUUGUUUGUGUUUUAUGAAUAUCUAUAAAGCUGUAAUUACCAUCACCAUCUAAAGUCACACGAUGACUAUUGAGCCAUGCAAUAAAUAUUCACUGUUGAUAGAGUUAUGGGUUAUUCUAAACAAUUCAGAGGAAAGCUAUGAUCUAGGAAGCAAAAUAUUAACUGGAUCGAUCAUUGAUUAGUAAUGCAAUGCUAAUGGCAAAUAACUGCAUGGUAUUUAUAUUUAUAAAAUACUUUUUCAAUACUUAUGUCAUUUGAACCACACAUCUUACUAAAGUAGUGCAGCACAAAUUCUUGUUAUUUCCUAUUUACAGGUGAAGAAAUUGAGACUCUGCGUUAGGUGACUUGCUCAGGAUCAACAAGUUUUAAAUGUCAGAGCAAGGACUCAGAACCAGGACAUAUGGGCUUCAAGUCAAGUAUUCAUUCUACCACUAAAUCAUGGUGGCCUUUUCCUGUCUUGAGCUUACAUCAGAAUUAAAAUCUCAGACUAAAGGGCACUCACCAUUUUGCUGGCACAACUGAGCAGCUGAAUGUCACUGUUGAUGCUUGCAAUCUUGAGUUUUAAGUUUCAUGAAUGCAUGGUCUUUACAUCUCCUGAAUGACUUUUAUAUAUAAUAAAUAUCAGAGACAGUG